GGGUGAUCUGGCUGAGACAUCUGUCACCCACUGAUGGCCAGGAAUUAUUUGGCCUGUUAGGCUGUCCCCUUGCUCCC
ensembl:misc_RNA 7SK 7SK RNA